rnacentral:rRNA from 1 species
UACGUAGGGGGCAAGCGUUUAUCCGGAAUCAUUGGGCGUAAAGCGCGUGUAGGCGGCCCGGUAAGUCCGCUGUGAAAGUCCAGGGCUCAACCCUGGAAUGCCGGUGGAAACUGUCGGGCUAGAGUCCGGAAGAGGCGAGUGGAAUUCCUGGUGUAGCGGUGAAAUGCGCAGAUAUCAGGAGGAACACCAAUGGCGAAGGCAGCUCGCUGGGACGGUACUGACGCUGAGACGCGAAAGCGUGGGGAGCAAACAGG